rnacentral:rRNA from 1 species
AUUGAACGCUGGCGGCAUGCUUUACACAUGCAAGUCGAACGGUAACAGGGUGCUUGCACCGCUGACGAGUGGCGAACGGGUGAGUAAUGCGUAGGAACGUGCCGAGUAGUGGGGGAUAACGCAGCGAAAGUUGUGCUAAUACCGCAUACGUACUGAGGUAGAAAGUGGGGGACCUUCGGGCCUCACGCUAUUCGAGCGGCCGACGUCUGAUUAGCUAGUAGGUGAGGUAAAGGCUCACCUAGGCGACGAUCAGUAGCGGGUCUGAGAGGAUGAUCCGCCACACUGGGACUGAGACACGGCCCAGACUCCUACGGGAGGCAGCAGUGGGGAAUUUUGGACAAUGGGCGAAGGCCUGAUCCAGCCAUGCCGCGUGUCUGAAGAAGGCCUUCGGGUUGUAAAGGACUUUUGUCAGGGAGGAAAUCCCUAGUGCUAAUAACACUGGGGGAUGACAGUACCUGAAGAAUAAGCACCGGCUAACUACGUGCCAGCCGCCGCAGUAA